AUUUGACCUCAAAUCAGGUAGACACAUGCAUUU
rnacentral:rRNA from 1 species